AAUUUGACGGAAAUCCUUUUCUUCUUUCAGGAUGGGGAAGGCGUCACUUUUAGCGGGAAGCGAGUGUUACUGGAGUACAAAUUGUUGUCAGAAAGGUAUAGAAACUACACCAGAGAUUCUCUCAGCCACGUGAGGGUCAUAUUGGAAUUCCAGAAUCUGUAUGGAUACUACAUAGGAAACACCUUCUUGCCUACGAUAAUGCUUGUCACGAUCGGCUAUACCUGCUUCCUCUUCGACCUCGCUGACUUUGAGGACCGAAUCAUGGUGUCCCUGACGUUGCUCCUUGUGUUGGCCACCUUCUUCUCCCAAGUCAGCCUCUCGAUUCCAAGGACAGCCUACUUGAAACUGAUCGAUGUUUGGUUCCUUGCACUUAUAACAGACCUCUUCGCCGUGAUCAUGUCCUUGGUCGUUGUCGAAGUCAUCCGUUUGAAGUCCUUGAACUCCUCCACCGUCAUAAAAGUGAUUCCUAUAAUGAAAGCGGCUAACGAUAAGCCGUCCAAAUUCGUGUCGUUCACUUCCUACUGGUUCUCUGAGCCGAAUAAGCUGAACAUGGUGUUCUUUUACUUUUAUCCGAUGACACUCAUCGUGCUCCUGGCCGUUUUCGUCUCUGUUGGCGGUAAAAGUUUGUUCGCUAACAUUCCGGAAGAGUUCCGGUGAACUCGGCGAAGUCCGCCACUUUUUCACCUGAGCGUCGUAAUGUCAAGAAUAGGUAAAACUGAAGAUGACUACUACCGUGGUCCGGUAACUCAGUUUACG